CUUCCGGUUAUUAUCGCAUGCUUUGCUGUAACAUUAUUGGAUGACAUUUGGACGUCAUUUGGCAAAUUUCGGAAAAUAUACCUCACUAGUACGUUUCUUUGUGUAAAACAUAACAAAGUCCGAUACAAAAAAAAUAUUAGGAAUCAGGAAAAUAUAUUAUUAAAAAAUGCAAAACAAAUAUUACAACGAAAGCAUUUUUUCAAAG
rnacentral:lncRNA from 1 species